CGCUGGCGGCAGGCUUAACACAUGCAAGUCGAGCGGGGGACGGUACUUGCUNCGGGCCUAGCGGCGGACGGGUGAGUAAUGCUUAGGAAUCUGCCUAUUAGUGGGGGACAACAUCUCGAAAGGGAUGCUAAUACCGCAUACGUCCUACGGGGAGAAAGCAGGGGAUCUUCGGACCUUGCACUAUUAGAUAGCCUAUGUCGGAUUAGCUAGUUGGUGGGGUAANGGCCUACCAAGGCGACGAUCUGUAGCGGGUCUGAGAGGAUGAUCAGCCACACUGGGACUGAGACACGGCCCAGACUCCUACGGGAGGCAGCAGUGGGGAAUAUUGGACAAUGGGGGAAACCCUGAUCCAGCCAUGCCGCGUGUGUGAUGAAGGCUUAUGGUUGUAAAGCACUUUAAGCAAGGAGGAGGCUACUCUAGUUAAUACCUAGGGAUACUGCGUUCUCCAAUAGGCACCGGUACUCUUGCA
rnacentral:rRNA from 1 species